GGGGUUGUAGCUCAAUGGUAGAGCACUUGCCUAGCAUGUGUGAGGUACUGGGUUCAAUCCUCAGCACCA
rnacentral:tRNA from 1 species